rnacentral:lncRNA from 1 species
AUAAAACAGAUGGAGACUGUUAAUGUGUUAGAAGCUAAACGUUUGAACUAAUCGGUACAUUGAACUUAUUGUCAACAAAAUAUUCUUCAUAGUUUUCACUUUUCAUUUUGCAAAUUCUAAACCUGAAACCAACAUUGAUAAUGUAUAUAUUGUCAACGAAUACCUCAUAUACAGAUUCAACACAUUUCUAGUCCAAGAUACUUAUUUUUGACAAAGGUUGAUAAUCAGAGUAAUUGGCAAAACCUAUUGACGUCCAACAAUUAGAUUAUUGUAGUAGGAGACCAGUCCCCCCCAACGAUCAGGAUCAAGACAUUUUUGUAACUGUUUUGUUUUGUAGGUAGUACGAAAGAGACAUAAAGAUCUCGAUUAAGUGAUUCGCUGAACAAAAACACACAUGUUAGUCAGACCAAAGAGAGAGAGAGAGAGAGAGAGAGAGAGAGAGAGAGAGAGAGAGAGAGAGAGAGAGAGAGAGAAGAUGCAUACCACCAAGCGAGAAGGAGGACUUCCUUCUCAUAUAAGACUAAUGAUAGGACAGCUCUGACUCCGGAUCAUUGAAGAUAAUGAUAGCUUUGAGUGGGCGAGACUGAAACAGAAAAGCAUGGGACAUUAACCCAUGAGUAUAUAAUAUAGCUUCAUGUAUAGCUUUCAAUACUUGCUAGGACAUUCAUAUGCAAGUAGUGCUCCUUCAUGCCGUCUUAAAGAAUUUCUGCAGCCAAAACACAAACAAAAUGAACUUUAUAUAUUAUACAUGUGAUACAAAAAAUAUAGCACCAAUGACAUAAAAAAAAAUUGGCAAGCCACUCCAAUGGAAUAUUGAAUUGCAAACAAUCCUCUUCAUGUGAAUAUAAAUCAAUUGUGUUACUGAGGGAGUGUAAAACUCAUCCAGAGAGAGAGAGAGGGGCAAAAUUAAGAGAAAAACUCACCAACUAAAGUUUACUACACUUAGAACAAUGCUGAAGAAUAUUCUUCGCCAUCUCAAG